rnacentral:lncRNA from 9 species
CUGGGGUUGAAGGGGCCCUUGGGUGGUGGGACUGGGGCUGGCAGGUGGGGGCUGGGACUUGAGGAGGGGCUGGGAUAGGGGGCUUUUCCUUGGCGCUUCCUUCACCCCCGGGGAGUGGGCAGGAUGCAGCCCUGGGGUCAUGGCCUGUCCUGGGCUGCCCGUGGGGCAGAGAUGCCAGCUGCGGGCGUGGCCAUCACGCUGCCUCGCUGCACAAACAGAGAGCCUCGGUGGCUCCAGACAGAGCUCCCACUACAGGCAGGACACCGCGUGCGUCCCCAGCUUGGCUGCUCUACGUUAAGUCUCUCUUGUCUGAGUUACAGAAACGGCACGGAGGGAGGGGUGCUGUGCUGUGCCUCGAGGUCCCUUCCCAGGUGGGAACUUUUCUGGGAUCGAUACGUUCACUGAUGCUUUCCUGUGACUGCCACCUCGCCCUUAAGUUGUCAAUGAAAAUAAUCAAUCGACAAUCAAUAAUGAGAACAGAAGAGGAUUCUAUUUGCGCCAAACCGAGGACUCGCCUAGGAACCCACGUCCCAGAUUGCUCUGAGAAACUGCACAGUUUUAUAUCUUGUCAGAAGAAAGAACAUUCAAUAAGUCAAGGUGACAUUUUCAAGGUUAAGGAAACGGGGAAGGAGACCCGAUCAGCACACAUGGAGCCAGUCAGCAUGGCCUUGGCACCUGCGAAGCGAGUCUUAUCAUGGAAGGAAUGCAAGCACUGGUGUCCUAGGAGAGAGGGAUGGAGCCCUCCCGGGGCCAUGCUCCUGCGUCCGCUGGGGUGAGCCCCUGAGCCGUACCAGGCCGUCUCCUACGCCAGGAGCAGAAGCCCUCCGCGGACCGUACAGAGUCAUUCUAACGGGUGCCGCUGGCACCGUAUUUUCAGGCCACAAAAUUCAGGUGAGUAAAAAUUGUUUUCAUUGUUGUUGGUUUUUUUUUUUUGCUUUUUAGGGAGGUUUCCAGGCUAGGAAUCGAAUCAGAGCUGCAGCUGCCGGCCUGCACUACAGCCACAGCAAUGCCAAACUACACCAUAGCUCACGGCAAAGCCAGACCUUUAACCCACUGAGAGAAGCCAGGGAUCGAACCCGUGUCCUCGUGGAUGCUAGUCGGCUGACAGCUGAGCCACAAUGGGAACUCCUUUUUUUUUUUUUUUUUUUUUGGUGGUGUGUUAAGGUUGUCACUGUAUUCUUCAGAGAAUCAGUUUAACCUGCAUUUGAAAACCUCCAUUCCUAUUAAUGGCAAGAAAUAUAGUCUUUUUGUUUGUUUUGGUCUUGUGUUUCUUUUAAAGCCAAUGCGGCAUGUGGAAGUUCCCAGGCUAGGGUUUAAAUCAGAGCUAUAGCUGACAGCCUACCCCACAGCCACAGCAACGCAGGAUCCGAGCCACAUCUGCGACCUACACCCCAGCUCACGGCAACGCCGGACCCUUAACCCACUGAGCCAGGCCAGGGAUCGAACCCAUGUCCUCUUGAAUACUAGUCGGGUUCAUUCAUAGCCCACUGAGCCACAACAGGACUGCUAAUAAA